ensembl:lncRNA
GAAACACAACAUGCUUUGACAGAAUUCAGAGGACUUUGGAGGACUUUGUCUGGAAACAAAAACUUGUGGAUUUGAAAUGUGUUACUGUAGUCCUCCUCUGACAUUACAACCUGAAUGCCUGUUGGCCCUGCUCUGCAAGGCUGAGGCUGCCUUCCACCUUUGACAUUUUGCCAUGAUCUUCCUCCUUGAAGGGAGUGCUGUAAAUGGGGAAUCCCUCAAAAUGAUCUGUCCUCAGAAUUCUCAUUUAAAUGUACUAGGUACUAAUUACUUUAACUUCAAGGAAAAGAGAAGAUUACCUCCUGUAAACUUUCUCAUACAAAAUAAUCUGUCCUCCUGUGAUGCUGGUUACUUGAAAAUGUCUGUUUGCUUGAGAAAAGGUUUGUCAAAUCAGGUCUGUGGUUUUCUCUCUUCUCAUGGUAUUCACAUCAGCAGCAAGUAA